rnacentral:rRNA from 1 species
AUGGCGGACGUCGACGUUGACACGGAGGUGGCCGCGGGCGCGCAGCCGAAGAAGAGGACGUUCCGCAAGUUCAGCUAUCGCGGCGUGGAUCUCGAUGCCCUCCUCGACAUGUCCACCGACGACCUUGUCCAGAUGUUCCCCGCUCGCGCCCGCAGAAGGUUCAAGAGGGGUCUCAAGAGGAAGCCCAUGGCGCUCGUCAAGAAGCUGCGCAAGGCGAAAAAGGACGCUCCUGCUGGUGAGAAGCCUGAGCCAGUGAGGACACAUCUCCGUAACAUGAUCAUUGUCCCUGAGAUGAUUGGCAGCCUUAUCGGUGUCUACAAUGGCAAGACCUUCAACCAGGUUGAGAUUAAGCCUGAGAUGAUUGGCCAUUACCUUGCAGAGUUCUCUAUCUCCUACAAGCCAGUGAAGCACGGUAGGCCCGGUAUCGGUGCCACACACUCCUCCCGGUUCAUUCCUCUUAAAUGA